ACAUGCAAGCCUCCACACGCCAGUGAGAAGCCCGGUAGGCUCCUCGGGGAGUCAAGGAGACGGCAUCAGGCACGCCACGCACUGCCAAUCACGCCACGCAAAUUGCCACACCCACAAGGGCCCCAGCAGUGAACAACAUUAAGAUAUAAGUGAAAACUUGACUUAGUCAAGGUUAAAACGGCCGGUAGAUCUCGUGCCAGCCACCGCGGUUAUACGAGAGGCCGAAAACAACAACAAUUGGCGUAAAGAGUGGUCAAAGUGAAACUGACACAUUAAGGGGGAACCAGUCCUGAGCCGUGAAACCCAUAAGAAACAAGAACCACAAUCAACCCUUAAUAUAAAGAUAGCUCUAACUCACGAAAGUUGGGACACAAACUGGGAUUAGAUACCCCACUAUGCCCAACCCUAAACUUAAACAGCCAAAAAUUUUAAGCUGUUCGCCAGGGUACUACAAGCAAAAGCUGAAAACCCAAAGGACUUGGCGGUGCCCCACACCAAACUAGAGGAGCCUGUCCCAUAAUCGAUAACCCACGAUAAACCUCACCGCCCCUUGAUAACUCAGCCUAUAUACCGCCGUCGCCAGCCCACCCUACGAAGGCACAAUAGUGAGCACAACAGCACACGCGAGUACGCCAGGUCAAGGUGUAGCUAAUGGGGCGGAGGAGAUGGGCUACAUUUCCCAACCACGACAAAACGAAAGGCCCCAUGAAAACUGAGCCGGAAGGCGGAUUUAGCAGUAAAACAGAUAAGACCCCCUGCUUGAAGCACGCCCUGGGGCA
rnacentral:rRNA from 1 species